GUCUCUUGUUUGCCAGUUUUGCAUUGUAUAUUUUAAUCCUGGAGAUGAUGCAGUUCUGUCGUGUCAUCUUGAGACAGCUAUCAGUGCUGCUUCAAUGAAGAUCAAGUGGUGGAAUAAGACUGAUCUGGUCUGUCAUUAUCAGGAUGGACGGCUGAAGACUUCUAACUCAUGGUUCCUACUCGUAUUAUAUCUGCUCAUCCUGGAUCAGACAUCAUCUUACCUGUUCAUCUCUCACCUGAAACCAGUGCUUGGACAUCAGAUGGCUUAGACGGAGGGACAACACUCAUUUAUCAUUAUAAUAAGGGGCAGGAGAUAACAAACAAUGACUAUGAGAAGCGAGUGAGUCUGUCCAUCCAGGAGCUGAAGAGAGGAAAUCUUGCUCUGACUUUGAGAAAUGUUCAAGAGUCAGAUUCAGGAUGCAACGUUUUUCACAAUGGAUGUCUGAAGUCAGUAUUUCUUAACUUGCAAGUGAAUGGUAAGGUACUAUUAAAACUGCAGUAGCAGCCUCAUUGUAUAAAGAUUGAAUACUUGAUUCUGAUUGGUCAUUUGCUUUGAAAGAGCCACUUAUUUGCUUUUUUGCUUUAAUUGCUGAUUUAAUUUUUGUUUUAUGUAAAUUUGUAUGUAAAAAGUUGCCAUGCUAAAUAACAUGAUUUUCUCCAUAUGUUUUGAUUACCUGCAGUGGAAGGUGAUAAGGCACUGGAGACAGACUGUGUGGAGAGAGGGAAUAUUAUUUUAAUACCCAGAGAAACGGUUCAUCAUAUACAAAUAGAACCCAAGUGAUACGACACUGGCGACUAGCAAGAGAUAUUUUGUAAAGCCCAGAGAACCGGUUCAACAACUGCAUUUUAAGAGAAGUAAGCAAUAAAGGAACUUUAAGAGAAGUCAGUAAAAAUAGGGGCAAUGUACUAUGUUAAUAUGAAGGGUUUUUCCAUAUUGAUUUUGCAACACAUUGCACUGUGUUGUAUUUUAAUGAAAAUGUCCUGGCAGAAAAUCAUAAGCACCAUUACAGCUGUUCUGCAUUUUCUUUCUUCUUAUGUUCUUAUGAAAGCAUGCUAUACAGUGAGUUUAAGUGACAUACAGCAGUUUUAAUUGGUGAAAUAGUGCUUUUAUUAAACUUCCUGAAGAUUUUUCAAAAUCUGGGUACUAGAAAAUGGUUUCUGUAUCUUAAUAGUCAUCUUCUCUUACAGUUUGCAGUAGAGACACUUUGUAAAAGCUUUAACCAUUUUAUACAAUGACAUUUCUUGUUUCUUUUUUCUUUCUUUCUUUUUUUUUUGGUCACAUUCAAAACUGCCCAUACAGUAUGUGAAUCUUAAAAGUGAUUGAGACACCUGAAAAAAACUGAAUGACAAUUAUUUCACACUUUCUUUUAUUAAAUAUGAAUAUCAUUUCACUUCAAAAAAUUUUUUUUUUUUUUCUUUACUCUUAAAAUUAGUUUUCUUGUGACAUACAAGAUAACUGUAAAAAGAUGUGAUCACUCAGACUUUUUAUUAUUAACUGUUCAAUUAUUAGAUUUUGGUGAUGGGGUUAAUUCAAGAUUUUUCCAUUCAACUCACCAUUCAUACACCUUCACUGUUACAAGAUCUUGUAGCAUAAUCCUUGAAUACUGUGUCUGAAAUGCUUCUUUUGGCUUUCUCUAAACAUACAGACCGUUCAGAUGUGGGAUAACUUGUUUGGACUUUCAGUACGCCAUAAAACAGUUCCGAAAGUUGUGAUUUGUGAAAAUGACAUAAUCUAGGAUCAUUAUGCACUGCGUGGCAUUGUCAAGACUGUAAGUCUAUUUUUCAUAGCUUUGUUUUUAUCUGUUAAAUUCAUUAUGGCAUCUAACCUGAUUUAGACCUAUAUAUUUCUUGCCCAUGGGUAAUUUACAUGCUGCUAAACUAC